rnacentral:rRNA from 1 species
UACGGAGGGAGCUAGCGUUAUUCGGAAUUACUGGGCGUAAAGCGCACGUAGGCGGCUUUGUAAGUUAGAGGUGAAAGCCUGGAGCUCAACUCCAGAACUGCCUUUAAGACUGCAUCGCUUGAAUCCAGGAGAGGUGAGUGGAAUUCCGGAGUGUAGAGGUGAAAUUCGUAGAUAUUCGGAAGAACACCAGUGGCGAAGGCGGCUCACUGGACUGGUAUUGACGCUGAGGUGACGAAAGCGUGGGGAGCAA